GUUUGAAGGCAAAUUGAAAUGUGUAGUGAAUAAAGUUUGUUUAUCCCUUUGAUCGAAUUAGAUACUUUGUCCGUGAUAAACAAAUGACGAUUUCAUGCUUCAGAACAAUUUCAAUUCCCAUGGGGAUUUAAAAACGUUCGAGAACGCCAAAAUAUUCGGAAAUUUCCUUGUCUAUUUCACAUGCACGUGUGCUUUUGUUGCGUAAAUAUACAAGCGUUUGCAGUGAUUUAUAAACCUCCUAGAUCAAGCAGUGCGAAAUUGUGUAAAAAUACGAAGCAAAAAGACAUCGCCACACUGAGGAAAAGACUUAAAUUCAAGUGGUAUUAUUAGAGAAAGCAAAUUUACACGACAGACAUUCUAUUUAAAGGAAGGCAUAAAAGCCGCCAUCUUGAAUUCUUUUAUACAACAGUCAAACUUAAAUGCCUUUUGUUAUCAAUCUGCUUUGGUUCAUAGGGAAUAUAAAGCAUUUUCAAUAUUAACUCGCAUGUACUUGAACCAUUAGCAAAUAGUAUUAUGAUUUUUUUUAUUUCGGGGCUACUAAGUUUUUACUUUUAAAUCUUAUAUUGCAUUGCACUGAUUGUGAACAUACUAGAAGAAGCAAUUAAUAUUGUGUAAUGAAUAGGGGUACUAUGUAAUAUUAUGGGAUAUAUGAAUCAUUGUAUUAUGUGCCAAUAUGUGGUAAUAUAUUUUGCAAGUUUGGUUUUAUUAGAG